rnacentral:misc_RNA from 1 species
UACAGAGGGUGCAAGCGUUAAUCGGAUUUACUGGGCGUAAAGCGUGUGUAGGUGGCUCGCUAAGUCGGUUGUGAAAGCCCUGGGCUCAACCUGGGAAUUGCAGUCGAUACUGGCAAGCUCGAGUUCGGUAGAGGGUGACGGAAUUCUCGGUGUAGCGGUGAAAUGCGUAGAUAUCGAGAGGAACAUCGAUGGCGAAGGCAAUCACCUGGGCCUGAACUGACACUGUGACACGAAAGCGUGGGUAGCAAACAGG